AACAGUUGUAAGACAAAUUCAGUGCCUCCAGGCCCCGCAGCAACCCUGUUAUCCCUGCUGGCACCUCGCCUGACAGCGCAUUGUGCGAGAGGUCCAGCCUCCGCAGCCGCCCCAUUCUCUCCAAGCUAGCCGGAAUCCGCCCGGCGAGAUAAUUAUACGACAAAUUCAGAUAUUCCAGCCCUCCUAACCCGACCAAUCCAUCCGGGAUCUCGCCGCUCAGCUCAUUCCCAGACAUGUCAAUCCCCACCACUGACCGGAGCUCGUACCCGAACUCCAGCUG
rnacentral:misc_RNA from 1 species